CUAGAAUGCUCGCUUUGGCAGAUACUGAAAUUGGAAUGAUACAGAGAAGGUUAGCAUGGCCUCUGCACAAGGAUGACACACAAUUUUGUGAAUCAUGCCAUAUUUUU
rnacentral:snRNA from 1 species